UCUUCCGCUGAUCCUCUCACCAUUUCUUGAGCAUAUAACAAUGCUCUGUAUGAAGUGGUGUAAUCAAGUGUCAUGCCAAACAUGUCUAUCACUUGUAACAUGAAUAGGAGGAAGGUCUGGAGCCAUCUGUUGUAAUGAGUAGGUUAACUCCACAUACUCUGUGUUCAUGUCCAGGUUAUAAUCUUCUUGAGCCAUUGCAACAAGAUCAGCAUGUGUCAAACCUUCACUCAAAAAUAACAUUCUCGCUCCUUUGAAAUGAUCAACCACAAAAUUACAACAUCCAUCUUUCAACAACCAUUCUCCAUACACUGCAUGUAACUGACGCAUCAUCUGAAAAAGUCAAAAUAAAACACAUUAGCAAACUUAGAAC
rnacentral:lncRNA from 1 species